GACGAACGCUGGCGGCGUGCUUAACACAUGCCAGUCGAACGGAAAGGCCCCUUUGGGGGUACUCGAGUGGCGAACGGGUGAGUAACACGUGUGUAACCUGCCCUUGACUUCGGGAUAACUUCAGGAAACUGGGGCUAAUACCGGAUAGGAAUCCUUGCUGCAUGGUGGGGGUUGGAAAGCUUCGGCGGUUUUGGAUGGACUCGCGGCUUAUCAGCUUGUUGGUGGGGUAGUGGCUUACCAAGGCUUUGACGGGUAGCCGGCCUGAGAGGGCGACCGGCCACAUUGGGACUGAGAUACGGCCCAGACUCCUACGGGAGGCAGCAGUGGGGAAUAUUGCACAAUGGGCGGAAGCCUGAUGCAGCAACGCCGCGUGCGGGAUGACGGCCUUCGGGUUGUAAACCGCUUUCAGCAGGGGCGAAGCUUGUGGUGACGGUACCUGCAGAAGAAGCACCGGCUAACUACGUG
rnacentral:rRNA from 1 species